rnacentral:rRNA from 1 species
CAUGCGCUGCUACCAUGCAAGUCGAACGUGAUCCGCCCUUCGGGGUGGUGAAAGUGGCGCACGGGUGAGUAACGCGUGGAUAAUCUGCCCGAGGAUUUGGGAUAACAUCUCGAAAGGGGUGCUAAUACCGAAUAAGCCCACGGGGUCUACGGAUCUUGCGGGAAAAGGGGGGGACCUUCGGGCCUCCUGUCCUUGGAUGAGUCUGCGUACCAUUAGCUAGUUGGUGGGGUAAUGGCCUACCAAGGCGACGAUGGUUAGCUGGUCUGAGAGGAUGAUCAGCCACACUGGAACUGAGACACGGUCCAGACUCCUACGGGAGGCAGCAGUGGGGAAUUUUGCGCAAUGGGGGAAACCCUGACGCAGCAACGCCGCGUGGGUGAUGAAGGCCUUCGGGUCGUAAAGCUCUGUCUGGAGGGAAGAAAUGAUUGGGAGCUAAUACCUCUUGAUCUUGACGGUACCUCUGAAGGAAGCACCGGCUAACUCCGUGCCAGCAGCCGCGGUAAUACGGAGGGUGCAAGCGUUGUUCGGAAUUAUUGGGCGUAAAGCGCGUGUAGGCGGUCUUUUAAGUCUGAUGUGAAAGCCCCGGGCUCAACCUGGGAAGUGCAUUGGAAACUGGGAGGCUUGAGUACGGGAGAGGAGAGUGGAAUUCCUAGUGUAGGAGUGAAAUCCGUAGAUAUUAGGAGGAACACCGGUGGCGAAGGCGGCUCUCUGGACCGAUACUGACGCUGAGACGCGAAAGCGUGGGUAGCAAACAGGAUUAGAUACCCUGGUAGUCCACGCCGUAGACGAUGAGUACUAGUGUUGCGGUAUGACCCCUGCA